rnacentral:rRNA from 1 species
GACGAACGCUGGCGGCGUGCUUAACACAUGCAAGUCGAACGGAAAGGCCCUGCUUUUGUGGGGUGCUCGAGUGGCGAACGGGUGAGUAACACGUGAGUCACCUGCCCUUGCCUUUGGGAUAACUUCAGGAAACUGGGGCUACUACCCGAUAGGAGCUCCUGCUGCAUGGUGGGGCUUGGACAGUUUCGGCGGCUGGGGAUGGACUCGCGGCUUAUCCGCUUGUUGGUGGGGUCGGGGCCUACCAAGGCUGUGACGGGUAGCCGGCCGGGGAGGGUGACCGGCGACAGUGGGAGUGAGAGACGGCCCAGACGGGUACGGGAGGCAGCAGUGGGGAAUAUUGCACAAUGGGCGGAAGCCUGAGGCAGCAACGCCGCGUGCGGGAUGACGGCCGUCGGGUUGUAAACCGCUUUCGCCUGUGACGAAGCGGGAGUGACGGUAAUGGGUAAAGAAGCACCGGCUAACUACGUG